UUCCUGCUGGAGAUCUCUGUCUGAGACCUACACUACCUGAGGCCUUCCAAAGACCUAGUUUUCAGAGGAAGAGCAGCACUGCAUAGAAUAGAAGUGCUUGUGGCCAAAUUCCUACAGUGAAUACAGUAUUAGAGAAGGAUGCAGGAUGGAAUAGACCUCAAGAUCUCUUGGGUUCUGUGUUCUGCUCCAGGAAGGACUGACGUCAAAGCUAGAACAAGAUGCUCAGAUAUUUUUCUAGGCAUGUUUUGGAAAUCUUCAGGGAUAGUGAUUCUCUAUUCUCUACAGGAAUGAUAAGCUGAGAUCAUAACUUGAACAAGUAAUGGUGUAUCUGAUCUAUUACCACCUGAGAGAAAGAAGCAGUCCAGAAGAGUGGCCAGAGGAGUUGAGAGGUUUCCCUGCUCAUAUUACCAGGGUGAAAUGCAGUAGUAAGAGCUUCAAUGGUGCAUAAAAGAGGCUAAGCAAAGAAUGCUGCCUGCAGGAUGCCACUUGCUUUUCCUGCAGAACCUGCACUGUGUAUGGAGCCACAGAACUGUAGCAGACAAGUCAGUAAAACAGGCCUGCAGAAUAGAUACUGAAACAAUGAUCACUUCAACAGCCAAGGUCUUUUCUGCCAAACCACUUUGAUCUUGAUACUGAGGGAUUUCAGACAUCUGAACCUGCUCUGUUCUGUGUAAUUCUGAAAGAAAAGCCUUUAAAAUACAGAAGAAGCCAGUGUUAGCCACCUUGCAGUUGGGUUCUAAGGCCUCACUGUUCUCUCUGGGAUUUCUUGCCAGCUGUUAACAUAGUGUUUUAACUUAUAUUAUCAGAUGCUCAAAGCUGUCUGUAAACUACAUGGCUAAGCUCAGAUCUGAGAAUUCCCUUAAAUGAUUUGGCACUCAAACAGUUACUGCCAUUAAGAAGCUGAUGAGUGGUUGCAAACUGCUAAAUGCAGAGUACAUAAUGCCUGCAAGGAGAUAGCUCUUUCUGCUUGGAUGGGAGCCUAUUAAAUCAUUUUAGCACAACAGCAUUUGUAACUGUGAAAGGAAUAAAAUAUUUAUCAAAAUACUAAUCUUAUAAGAAGAAGCCUGAAAGAAUCCUGUCUAGUUUCUGAGUAAGAAAAAUAUAAGAUUUUUAUUUUAUAAAUGUACUUUAAAGAGGUAAAUAGGUCACGUCCUAUAUGAUCUAAUGGCAGUCUUUACAGGCUAUAGAUUUUCUCAGAUGCAUUUCCAAAAAAGAAUUUUACACCGUGUUUAGUUAUUUCUAUCUGCUUGCUUUCCAUGUUAUUUUUUUUACCUUCUUUCUGAUGGUUCAUCUGGUGAAAUUUGAACUUUAAAGUAUGUAUUAUUUCAAAUGAACGUUGCCAAUGACUAAUUCAAUGUCAUUUGGCACUUUUCUAUGCCACUGAGCUAGACCAAGUAGAAUAUACGUAAAUAUAGAAUAUCUAAUUAAUUUCUGUUCC
ensembl:lncRNA